UCCCUGGUGUCCAGUGGCUGAGUCUGCACUGCCAAUGCAGAGGUCUCAGGUUCAAUCCCUGCUUAGGGAA
rnacentral:tRNA from 1 species